rnacentral:snoRNA from 1 species
GGAUCGAUGAUGACACCCUCACAUGCAUUCCUUGGAAAAUCUGAACAAAUGAGUGAGAACUCACUACCGUCCUCCUCAUCGAACUGAGGUCC